AUUAUGAGUUGUGCUUUUGCCUAUUUAUACUGUCGACUCUCGAGAAGAGUUUUGAGUUGUUAAAUGUUUUGCAUGCUUCUAAGCUUUGAGUAACUUUACUCACAUGCUAAGUUUUUCAAAGAGUUGUCAUUGAUUGCAUUAAAAAACACUUCUUUUGUUUUUCUGAUUAUUUGAGAGGUGUCCUUUCUACAUCUCAUGAUAGGAAUAUCAAUGGAGUUGAUUGGUAUGACUCGUCUAUACAUUGACCAAUUAGUAAUAGUCAUAUUUUGAUUCUUUCUGAUAAUGACUUGCUCUGCCUCUGAUGUUUUUUUUUUUCUUUGAUAAUCUAUAUGAAGAACAAAGACUGAACCCUACAUUGUGCAAUCAUGUCGAAUUCCUUAAAUGCUGGGCACUGGACGGAUCCCCAACUGUGGAGGGAAUGAAGGCAUAGAGGUGGCUUCCAAUCUCAUGAGGUCGGUUAAAUUGUUUUCGACAGUAGCUUACAUGUUAAAGGCAGGUGAAAUAUGAAAAUGAGAUACAGUUUACCCAGUUUAUAAAGCCUUUUAGUGUGAUAUUGGUAUAUGUUAUAUUGUGUUUUUUUAAAGUAUUUUUUAAAUUGAAAAUAUAUUAAAAAAUUAUUUUUUAAAAUUUUAUUUUAUUUUUAAAAUCUAACAAAAAAAAAUGAUUGUGAGAUAUAUAAGCAGGAAAAUGUCAAACGUGAGCAUGUAAAAAUGAAUUGAAAUUUCCUUGUGAGCAAAUAAAGAUAAAUUAGCAAGAAAAAAAAGAAGGAAAUCUUGGUUAAUUUUUUUUGUACAUUGAUAAAUUACUUAACAUGGAGAUCCUAUCUUCUCAUCAAAGAAAACAUAUAAAAAUGACUUGGCCAACUCUGGAAGAAGCAACCUGGGUGAUCUGUACUGCACUGAUGGGAUGAACUGCAUAAUAUAUCAAGAGAUCAAAUUUACAUCAUUGUCUAUAAUAUAUUAAGAGAUUCUUGGAGAUUUCAUUCUUAAGAUUUCUCAGAUUCUCAUGAAUACUGAAAUCAUAGAAAAUAUUUUCUCGAUUUAGGUAGUUUUUGAGGGCUAAAUUCAAGUCAUUCAUCUUCACAACUCUUAACCUGACUUUGUUUCCAUGCAAGUUGGCGGGGCUAGUGGUUGUUGCUUAUAUAUGACAAAAGGAAUUUGCAGAGCAGAAAUGAGCAUGAAAGCAGGUCCUCAAAAAUAAAAAAGGGCAACCUUCUUAUCACACUGUAAUACAUCAAGCUGUCUCAGAAGCACAAGCACCAAUUCAAGAAUUGACAAAUACAAUAGAGAAUUUCUAUUUCAUCACUUUCCCUUUUCCAUUUUGUUCAAGAAACAAAAACCAGAACCAUCAUUUUUACUACAAGGUGGACAAAAUUGUUAUACAUUGGAGACCAGAUUUCAGCCCCUUCCCAACAACCAAAAAUUUGCAAAAAGAAUGAACAAAUUGGUUUCUCUUCAAAACUGUAUUUUCUGUGUAACCUACACUUUCAUCAAAACACCAGGUGCAAAAUCAGUAUUGCAACAUAACUUCAGUAAACAAAAGAUAACAAGUAGAAACUGCGAGAAAGCCCAGACCAAAUAUUCCCAAUUCUUCUGGCUUCACAAUUCACACCAGAGCUGCUCGUGGACCAGAGGUGGGGUGUGGCUGACUUGACAGGUAGUAAAUGUACACUUUUCAAUCUGCAACGAGGAAAGAAAAUCAACUUGAAACAUUGUUCUAAGUGCAUGCCCCCCCACCUUUUAUUUCUACGGAAAAUUUGCCAUCAAUAACUGAAAUGGGAGCUUUUGUGGUGAUUAAUUCCCUGUUUUUAUAUUGGAGACUGGGUUUUCAUCGUCAGAGAAUGUUUAUGUUGUUGGGCAGCAAGUGCAAAAAUUAAGACUAGGCAAGUGACAACGCAGAGCAUAAAUUCCUGCUCCUGUUUCUCCAGUUUUCUAGCAGAAUGUUCCUAAACCAAGACAAACAAGUUUAAGCGCUGAUAGAAACUGACAUAGAAGAAGUCAUUUUAUAAUGUGAACAAAAAUGAAUGACUGCCCUUAGCAGAGAUGGUAAUAACUCAUAAAGAAGAAAGUAUUAAGUCCGUUUGCUGAUGCAAGUAGUGGUUAUUUGGCUUUCUAGGUUUCCCUUGGAGGAUGAAAUGGGGUCAAAGCAGGACUUAGGUUCAAAUAUAUGUCCACUCAACACCCAAAAACACACUUAUGGCGGACAUUACAGAAAGAGACGGAGAUAGAGGAGAGCAGAUAAUAAAUUACACUUCGAUGCACU
rnacentral:lncRNA from 1 species